GUAACGCGUGAGAAUCUAGCUUCAGGUCGGGGACAACCACUGGAAACGGUGGCUAAUACCGGAUGUGCCGAAAGGUGAAAGAUUUAUUGCCUGAAGAUGAGCUCGCGUCUGAUUAGCUAGUUGGUGUGGUAAGAGCGCACCAAGGCGACGAUCAGUAGCUGGUCUGAGAGGAUGAUCAGCCACACUGGGACUGAGACACGGCCCAAACUCCUACGGGAGGCAGCAGUGGGGAAUUUUCCGCAAUGGGCGAAAGCCUGACGGAGCAAUACCGCGUGAGGGAGGAAGGCUCUUGGGUUGUAAACCUCUUUUCUCAGGGAAUAAAAAAAUGAAGGUACCUGAGGAAUAAGCAUCGGCUAACUCCGUGCCAGCAGCCGCGGUAAUACGGAGGAUGCAAGCGUUAUCCGGAAUGAUUGGGCGUAAAGCGUCCGCAGGUGGCACUGUAAGUCUGCUGUUAAAGAGCAAGGCUCAACCUUGUAAAGGCAGUGGAAACUACAGAGCUAGAGUACGUUCGGGGCAGAGGGAAUUCCUGGUGUAGCGGUGAAAUGCGUAGAGAUCAGGAAGAACACCGGUGGCGAAAGCGCUCUGCUAGGCCGUAACUGACACUGAGGGACGAAAGCUAGGGGAGCGAAUGGGAUUAGAUAC
rnacentral:rRNA from 1 species